CUUAUCAUCCCCUUCCCAGUCAUCUUCAAGCUUUAAGUUAGGGUCAUCCUGUUUGAGAUAACUCCUUCGUCGUUCAGGGGAAGCCAUCAACAGAGAAUACCCUCACUAGAUGAUUUUCAGCACUUCAUUGAAUGAUGCAAUACCAGAUAGCCUCCUUCCGAUGCCGACGGAUUCGGUGUCGAGUGAUCUCCGGUGAUCAAUUUACGGCGUCGUCGUAGAACUAUGGAG
rnacentral:misc_RNA from 1 species